CAUACAAGCAAAUUUGCACUCGGUGCCCUCCCUAGUCUGUACCAAAUCCUUACACACCGACGACACAGGAUCGAAAAUUUCUCGGCGGCGGCGGCGACGGCGACGACCAAGAUCCUGAGACAAGCUGGGCGGGCUCGCGCAGCAAAGAUGCUGAUCCAUCUCCUCUCCGAUGGCUUCUAGGUUCUAGCCGUUUCGUCGCAGGUGGCGCAGUUUGAGGUAGAUUAGAUCGGAUUCCUCACCUCCUCCCCACUCUCAGGCUCCCAGAUCAGCUCGCGGCCGUCCUCCUCCACCCCCACCCCCUCUCGCGAUUCAGCACUAGCUCAACGCUCGUGGAUCCUCGCCUCCUUCCCAGCCGGCCGCUCUCUGGUUCUGCGAACAGGCCGCCACGGUUCUUCGUUCUGCAGUUGCUGGAGUAGUAACAGCAGAAGAAUGAACAACAGCUUGAGUAGAAUAGAAGCAGAUCCGUUCUGGUGAUGCUUAUGUUGGUUGGAUUCUUAUUUUAUCCAGAAGCAGCAUGUUGAUUAGUGCUAUGACUUAGUUAUGGUAUUGUGUAUUGCUACCAGAAGCAGCACGUGUACCGACUGUACAUAAACGCUAACCGAUUUCUAGCAUGAAGCAAUACACUAGCAAAUCUAGCUAUUCCGGCGAGAUGCACUAGUAUAGGAAGUAGGCUGCUCUGGCUUCGUCGAUUCUUCAGCGGCAAGCCGACACGCACACACGAUCCAGUAAUGGAGGGUAGCAGUGCGAUGUCUCCGCUAGGAGAGCCCUCAAUUCCAAUGAUCGCAGCAUGUGCACCAGCACUAUCAUGUGUGAGAAUAGCGGUACGAGGAAGUCAAGAUAUCCUGAUGUAUCUAAAUUAUGUUAAUCCCUUGUGUGAUGUUGGUUGAUAAAGAAAUUGUUUGCAGCCAUGGAAUCGGUCAACAGUGUUCAAAAUCAAGGAUGUGUGUAUGUGAUUUAGUACUAAUCCUUCAUCCAUGGCAUGAGCCUAUCUGGCAUCUUGUUCAUUUAUAUUUUCCCGUGCUGCUGUGGUUUUCUUAUUAUUACAAGGUAUAAUAUAAUGCAUGCCAUCAAGUUUUGUUUAUAGCUAUCAAAUUUGAAUAAUAAUUUGCAUCUGCAGGGCAUUCAUAAAACUCCCUUUAAAUUGUUCAAUGCCACUUAUUUGUCGUUCUCAUUUGUGCUUUUAACUAAUCUUGGAAUUAUAAUCCAUUUAUUGUAGGUCUAUAAUGAAAUAAUGAACUAUGCUGCAACAAAAAAUUUGUACUCUCUCUGUUAGACAUAUCCAACUAUCACAUGCCAUUUUAUUUUAUUUGGAAAAUCCCCUGUAGAAGCUGGAAAGCCAGCUUGACCUACAAAGUUAUCCUGAUUGGUUACAUAUGUUUGAGGUUCAACCUAAGUUUUGACAUAGUAUAAGUUAUGUUUCCUAGGUUGGAGUGCUGAAAGAAGCUGGACAUAUAUAAUGAUUAUUUCUCUUCUCAAGAUAUGCUAUUUGGUAUAUGUUUUUGACUGACCCCUAUUUACUUGGUAUAUGUUUCUGACUGACCCCUAUUUACUUGGUGUGUUUACCUAGGUAGAUCGAACUGAUCAAGUGUCCAUGGAGGUUGUCAUCUCUCUCCCAGCAGGAGGCUCGAUUGCCAGGAAGCACUAACACGAGGCAAAAUGAUAGAUAUUUUCGUUCUUGUACCAGCAAGAUGCUUGUUGGGCGAUGAUAAUUUCAGUCUUUACCACUUGGUCUUGCCGGCCAUAUACUAAAAAUGAUCUGUAUGCCACAUGUACUCAAGUACUCAAAUGCUUGCUAAGCACUGAUAAUUCCAGUCCUUAAUUUGCUCUACUUCCAGUUCUACUAGCCUUUUGUGAUGUGUUCUCAUGUACUCGAGUACUGAAAUGCUUGCCGAGCAGCUAUCAAUCCUUAAAUUGCUAUAUUUCCAGUUUGA